GAAAUUAAUUUUAGAAAAUGCAACUUCUUUUUCUACUCGUAAGCAAUACGACUUCUUUUUGUUUUGUGCAGUUUGUCAUGGUAUAAAAAAUGAAGUCAAGCGCAUGGCAACAGACACGGGAUUGCACUUGGACAUAGACAAAAUCGUAGACGGACGAACUGGUUGCUUGCAGUUUUGUGGCAAACGAGUUGUUGACCAAUAAAAAAAACUAUCAAAAUCGAAAAGUGAUAUGUGUACUUUUCUCAUCCAACCAGGUUUAAUUCAAAUUCGAAAUUGUUGUAAUAAUGCGAUUUUUGGCCUAGAAGCGACUAGCAUUUAUAAUUUUGGCCAAAUUUCAUUGAACUUCGAGUGCUGUAAUAACUGUGAUUAUGAUGAAAGUCCGGCGUACUGGGAACUUGACUAUGAGUUACUUGAUGCCUUUCUCUGCAGCGAAUCAGCUGAUCAUAAAUAUGAUUUAUACCAAAAGUUUUCCAGGCGCUUUAGCAUUUGCGGUAUAUGCAGCAUAUAAUUACUAUAAGUAAAGACAUGUUAUUUGCUGUGCCGCUUUGCUCAAAACCUUGCCCCUAGCAACAGCAACUGUAAGUACCUCGGGGAUCGGGGACUGCAGAUUGUAAACUCAACUCAACUGAAGGAAGACUGUUGUCCCUCUCUCUUUCUCUGUCUCUGGUUAAACAACUGACGAUAAGGCUCAGCAAAUACGAGUUUGGAUAUGAGCUUCGCCGUUCAAAAUACAAAAAAAAAACCCAGGAAUAAACUUGAAUAUUCCAGUUCGAGUGACUCGUUCCAACCUAUUUGCACAGGGUAUAGAAAUUGAUUGUAUGGCUAAGAUGAAAUACACACAACUCUCUCUGGGUGGAUGCAAGGACAGCCACCAGAUGCGGACUCUCGGGCGAGCGACAGAGACGGAGUCCAGAGAGGGGACAUAACAGGCUGCCGCAGACAGAGAGCAGAGGAGAGUUGGCAAAACAAGACCAGACCUGAGCGGCAAGCAGCAAGUCUUCUCGGCACUUUUCUUCAAUUUAUACAUAUCGUGUUUUAGUUUUUUUUUUUAAGGGAAUGGCGGGCUUUGGUCGGCAGGAGCCACGUGAACAGAGCAGAGAAAACGCGACGACUAAGUAAAAGUUAAUUUCAUUAGCAUUGCAGGUUUACCUAUAUAUGUGCUUUGUAUUUGAUGGUUCAGCCAUAACGUAAAGCGGAGACUGAAGAACGAUAUCUGGUGAUAAAGUUGGGGGGUCAUCACUUUUUUCUUUAUUUUCGACACCGAAACCGAAUCGGAGUUUGGGGGACUUGGGAGCGCGCGU